rnacentral:rRNA from 2 species
CUUUUGUAUAAUGGGUCAGCGACUUAUAUUCUGUAGCAAGGUUAACCGUAUAGGGGAGCCGAAGGGAAACCGAGUCUUAACUGGGCGUUAAGUUGCAGGGUAUAGACCCGAAACCCGGUGAUCUAGCCAUGGGCAGGUUGAAGGUUGGGUAACACUAACUGGAGGACCGAACCGACUAAUGUUGAAAAAUUAGCGGAUGACUUGUGGCUGGGGGUGAAAGGCCAAUCAAACCGGGAGAUAGCUGGUUCUCCCCGAAAGCUAUUUAGGUAGCGCCUCGUGAACUCAUCUUCGGGGGUAGAGCACUGUUUCGGCUAGGGGGUCAUCCCGACUUACCAACCCGAUGCAAACUGCGAAUACCGAAGAAUGUUAUCACGGGAGACACACGGCGGGUGCUAACGUCCGUCGUGAAGAGGGAAACAACCCAGACCGCCAGCUAAGGUCCCAAAGUCACAGUUAAGUGGGAAACGAUGUGGGAAGGCUCAGACAGCCAGGAUGUUGGCUUAGAAGCAGCCAUCAUUUAAAGAAAGCGUAAUAGCUCACUGGUCGAGUCGGCCUGCGCGGAAGAUGUAACGGGGCUAAACUGUGCACCGAAGCUGCGGCAGCGACGCUUAUGCGUUGUUGGGUAGGGGAGCGUUCUGUAAGCCUGCGAAGGUGUCCUGUGAGGGAUGCUGGAGGUAUCAGAAGUGCGAAUGCUGACAUAAGUAACGAUAAUGCGGGUGAAAAGCCCGCUCGCCGGAAGACCAAGGGUUCCUGUCCAACGUUAAUCGGGGCAGGGUGAGUCGACCCCUAAGGCGAGGCCGAAAGGCGUAGUCGAUGGGAAACGGGUUAAUAUUCCCGUACUUGGUGUUACUGCGAAGGGGGGACGGAGAAGGCUAUGUUGGCCGGGCGACGGUUGUCCCGGUUUAAGCGUGUAGGCUGGUUUUCCAGGCAAAUCCGGAAAAUCAAG